GCUGGACCUAGAUGACCUCUAAGGUCAUAUCAACUUGAAUACUUUCCUAUGACUCCAAGAAAUGGUGACAGAACGCUAAAUUCAGUAAGUAAACCCACCUGUUAAAGAAGUAAUGCUGUGGAUUAGAGAAUAGGAUUAGAAAAUGAUAAAAAGAAGAGACAGGGGUUUGGAACUUUGGCCUGGAAAAUAAAAAUUAGUAGAAUGACCAUAAAGACUGGGAAAAGGGAAAGAAAAGAGCAGGCAAGGAGGAAAAUCAAGAUAAAAAAUAAUGCUAAGCUUGGGCAUCAAGAAGGUAAUUUUCAAAAAGUUUUAUUUAAUCUUUCAAGAAAUGUUUAUUGAGCUUUCCAAGUAUCAGGCCUUACUUUAGGUAUUUAAGUUGUAGUUGCUUUCAAAAACUCUCUUUCUUCAUAGAGCUUACAUUCUAGGCUGGGGAAUUCAGGCAAUAAAUAGGAUAAGCAAGUAAAAUGUAUGGUAUGUUGGAUAAUGAUAAGUGGUUAGCAGAGGAAUGAAGUGGGGUCGUGUGGGUAGAGCAUGUAACAUCAGGUGGACUGGGCCAGGAAGACUUUACCGAGUAAGGAUCUGAAGAAAGUGAAGUGAAUAAGCUAUGGUUAUUUUGCUUCCUAGUUCAUGGGGGAAAUGAAAGCACUCAGAAGAACAGUCCAGGCAGGGAGACUAGCAAGUUCAAAGCUUCAUAGAUGGGAGCAUGCCUGAUAUAUUCAAGGAAAGGCUAGGAAACCAGUAAAGCUACAAUGGGAUAAAUGAAGAGGAGGAGAGAAGGAGGGGAGAUGACAAAAAAGACUUUGGAAGAUGUUAAGCAGAGAGUGCCAUAUGACAUACUUGAAUAUGAUAAUUUUAUUGCUGUUUCAACAGAAUCUAAAAAAGAGCAAGGACAGAAAAAGGAAGAGCAGCAAGGAUGCUACUGCACCAACCCAGGGAUCGAACUCGGGAACUUGUGCUUGCGAGGCAGGCGGCGGAAUCGCUGAGCUAAAUCCCUGGCCCCAUGCAAGUAAUUUUUGCACAUAUCUCAGUUCUUCAGGAACCAGAGAAAGCUUUGUGGUGUUCUUCAAACCAGAAAUUGCUCUACUCCAAAUCCAGAGAAGUCUUUUGGAAUCCCCUUUGCUACAACAACCUUGGAGGGAAGAAAACACGGUUUCUUAGAUUGUCUAUCCAAGGAACACACACCAGCCUUUUCACAGAAAACUGGCAGCUAAUCAAAAUAUACUGUUAGAGGUACAAGUGGUUCAAAAAGACUGAAGACCUAAAAGUUUAAACUUUUUUCUGACUUCCCUGACAAGGGCACUUUGCAGCCCAAGAUCUUGCUUCUCAGCACCUAGCACAGUUUGCCCCCAUGUUUUAGAUUGGUCUUUCUCCUCUAGAAGACUCCAGGAGGGCUGGUGCCCUGACAUAGGCUGAGUGCUCAGAAUUUGUUCAGUGAAUCAACAAAUGUUGAGCAGUUGCUGACAUGGAGGCUGAGAAUUCUCUACAAUUAGCAGAUCAGAUUUGAUAAAAGGAAAUGACCAGUCUGAUCUAGAUUCUUGUAGGUUGUAGACUACAUGUCUACAGUGCAUGCAUGGCAUUAGUGCAUGAAUGAUUUUACUGCAUGUGUGACACUGUAUCACAGAAUGCCAGAGGUAAGAUACGAGGAAGGCAUAGAUUUUUCUGUUUCUAAGUGCAAAACAUUAAACAUGAAUCUGAGAUGGACAAAAGAGUCUGUAUUUUCAUCAGUUAAAAUUGUAUACUUUUAGCCUAUUG
ensembl:lncRNA